GCAUAACGCGAAGAACCUUACCAGGUCUUGACAUCCCUCUGACCGAUCCUUAACCGGAUCUUCUCUUCGGAGCAGAGGUGACAGGUGGUGCAUGGUUGUCGUCAGCUCGUGUCGUGAGAUGUUGGGUUAAGUCCCGCAACGAGCGCAACCCUUAUCUUUAGUAGCCAGCAGUUCGGCUGGGCACUCUAGAGAGACUGCCAGGGAUAACCUGGAGGAAGGUGGGGAUGACGUCAAAUCAUCAUGCCCCUUAUGAUCUGGGCUACACACGUGCUACAAUGGUGAUAACAAAGUGAAGCAGCCUCGUGAGAGUGAGCAAAUCACAAAAAGGUCAUCCCAGUUCGGAUUGUACUCUGCAACUCGAGUACAUGAAGCUGGAAUCGCUAGUAAUCGCGAAUCAGAAUGUCGCGGUGAAUACGUUCCCGGGUCUUGUACACACCG
rnacentral:rRNA from 1 species